UACGAGGGGGGCGAGCGUUGUUCGGAAUUAUUGGGCGUAAAGGGUGCGUAGGCGGUUUGGUAAGUCUCUUGUGAAAUCUAUGGGCUCAACUCAUAGUCUGCAAGGGAAACUGCCGGGCUUGAGUGUGGGAGAGGUGAGUGGAAUUUCCGGUGUAGCGGUGAAGUGCGUAGAUAUCGGAAGGAACACCUGUGGCGAAAGCGGCUCACUGGACCACAACUGACGCUGAUGCACGAAAGCUAGGGGAGCAAACAGG
rnacentral:rRNA from 1 species